rnacentral:rRNA from 1 species
GAUGAACGCUGGCGGCGUGCCUAAUACAUGCAAGUCGAACGAAACUUCUUUAUCACCGAGUGCUUGCACUCACCGAUAAAGAGUUGAGUGGCGAACGGGUGAGUAACACGAGGGCAACCUGCCCAAAAGAGGGGGAUAACACUUGGAAACAGGUGCUAAUACCGCAUAACCAUAGUUACCGCAUGGUAACUAUGUAAAAGGUGGCUAUACUACCGCUUUUGGAUGGGCCCGCGGCGCAUUAGCUAGUUGGUAGGGUAAAGGCUUACCAAGGCAAUGAUGCGUAGCCGAAUUGAGAGGUUGAUCGGCCACAUUGGGACUGAGACACGGCCCAAACUCCUACGGGAGGCAGCAGUAGGGAAUCUUCCACAAUGGGCGAAAGCCUGAUGGAGCAACGCCGCGUGGGUGAAGAAGGUCUUCGGAUCGUAAAACCCUGUUGUUAGAGAAGAAAGUGCGUGAGAGUAACUGUUCACGUUUCGACGGUAUCUAACCAGAAAGCCACGGCUAACUACGU